GUGUUUAUAUGUGUCACACAGGACUGGCUGGGUAUUAAAGCCGGAGGAAGGUGGGGACGACGUCAAGUCAGCAUGACCUUUAUAUCCAGGGCUACACACACGCUACAAUGGUCAGUACAAUGGGUUGCCAAGCCGCGAGGCGGAGCCAAUCCUAAAAAGCUGGCCUCAGUUCAGAUUGCAGUCUGAAACUCGACUGCAUGAAGUCGGAGUUGCUAGUAAACGCAGGUCAGCUAUACUGCGUUGAAUACGUUCCCGGGGCUU
rnacentral:rRNA from 1 species